rnacentral:misc_RNA from 1 species
AAUAAAUAAUGCGCUUCGGUGCGAUGUGGUCCGUGCGAGUGCAUUGUGCAUGGGCUGAAAAUGAGCCAGUCAGGCUGGACGGUCUGGCAGUGUGCUAGGGACGGGGUGUGGAGCAGAGUGGAUGUGGUGGGUGCGGAUGUGCGAUGCAUAUCUGCGCAACACACUGCUCUUCUCGCAUGCCCACUGUCUUGUCGCUGCCGGCGCCAACCAGCCCAUCAACAUUAACA